rnacentral:rRNA from 1 species
UACAGAGGGUGCGAGCGUUAAUCGGAAUUACUGGGCGUAAAGCGCACGUAGUCGGCUUUGCAAGUCGGGUGUGAAAUCCCCGGGCUCAACCUGGGAACUGCAUCCGAGACUGCAUUGCUAGAGUAUGGGAGAGGGAAGCGGAAUUUCUGGUGUAGCAGUGAAAUGCGUAGAUAUCGUAAGGAAGACCAGUGGCGAAGGCGGGUCUCUGGACAGUUCCUGACGCUGAGGCACGAAGGCCAGGGGAGCAAACGGG